GCUGUAGCUACUUAAAUGAAUCAGUGGGGAGUGAUAGACAGAAAGGCAACCCAUUCUUCUUCCUGCAGCAGGUAAGAGGUAUUUACUGUCUAUUCCACAGGUCUUAGUGAGGUUUGGGAACAAACCUAGUAGCAGAGAAAGAAUAUUUUAGGAAGCCUUCACCAUACUGCAACAAUAUUGGAUGUCAAAUCUGUGAAUAAAACUAAAACAAUAAAUAAAGCAAACAAACUGCAGCAGAAUGGAAACAAUGACGCAUGUGACAAAUACAUAGCAGAAUGGAAAAAUUAUGCAUUCUUUCAUCCCUACAUACAUUCUCACCAUUUCUUCAGUCCUUUUCUUACCUCUGCAAAGUGGAUUUGCAAAUGUAACCUAUAUACUUCCAAGCAAGGGACUAUGUAAAUGAUACUCUCUUAUCCCAAUUUGCCACGAAUCAAAUGUUUGAGAUCUGUCCCCUGCCUCCCUCUUAAACAAUAUUUACCAAAUAUAAUCAUCAAACUAUAUUGGCUCUAUAUCUAUAUCUAUCUAUCUAUCUAUCUAUCUAUCUAUCAUCUAUCUAUCUAUCUAUCAUCUAUCUAUUUAUCUAUCAUCUAUCUAUUCAGUCUAUGCGUCUCCAGCUGUGGGCAUUAAGUUUCUUCCGUCUUCUCUGAUGUCCCCCUAUGGUUUGGGAAACUAACCCUGGUAUGAAAUUUUCUGAACUAGCAUGUAUAAUCAACACAUUUGCAAGAGCUGAGGUUUAAGAAGGGUUAAGCUGAAAAAUGAAACAGCAGUGAAGAGGCUGCUGGUAUUUUCCAAAUUUGGAAAGAAACACAGUGUGGCUUUUCGUCCUUUUACUUCUGCUUUCAUUGAAGGGGAAUUGCACAAGAAACUAUUCACGUAUAUUUUACUAUAGAUGCAACAUGCAACUCCCAUUGUUCCAGCGAGGUCCUGCAUGGCAUGCUUGAACUUCAUUCAGCACUGCCUCAAACCACAAUGCUUGUGAAACUGGGUAAUUUCCCAGUGUGGAUGCAAUUUUGUCAAAAACGCUAAGCAAAGACGUUUACAUAAAUUUAUUUCAGAAAGGAAAUAGCAGUACUUCAUCACUGAGCAGAUGUUGUUCUCUAGGGGAAGGGAAAUUCUGCUGCCCUUUUUUUCCUGACAACACUUUUUCCUUGUGACAGCAGUAUGAAUGUGGGGUGAUCCAUGUACUAACCACUCUCUUAAUAUAAGGUUACCAGAUUCUUUUCAAUGAAUCAGGGGACACUUUUCUACUUCCUACUAAAUAGAUGGAUUUUGUCAGGGGACUGAUUUGUAAAUCUGGGGACUGUCCCUGGGAAACGGGGACGUAUGGUAAUCUUAUCCUAAUAAGGCAUCCAUAAUAAGAGAAUCAAGCCCGCCCCUGCCUCUGUUGGCUUUCAAUAUAAGGGAGCCUCAACAUGCUGUUUUCAAUUUAGACAUUCUAAGUCCUGCUGUCCACAAGGGUGCUUGUAGUUACCUGAUACACAUUUGGAAAGCUUUCCCUUGAUUAGGUUAUCCACACCUUUUCUUCCCUCCACAUGCACCAGGUGAACAAAGAAGGAAAUUGUGAUUGCGAUCUUGGUACAUGCCAACUCACAACAUCAUUGGUCAGGCAUGAAGGCACACGCACGCACACGCACACACACACACACACCAUUGCCAGGAUGACCUAUAUCUGUCUUCCCCUGUUUCCAAAUGGACACACCGUACACAAUCAAUCUGCAAUUAGCUUUUAUUUUCAGAAUCAAACUCGUUUCCCAAGAAGUGCCUUCAGGGGCAAAAAAAUAUAUGCAAUUGAUCUUGAUUAUGUGUGGGCUACAUAGAAAAAACAAGUACCCAAUCUCCAUUGAUUCUAGAAUAAAAUGUGUGCGUGUGCACCCUUGAAUUAUGGCCUGAUCCCUGACUCCUUUCGGAUGCUACAGGGACACGUGGAUUCUUCCCAAACAUUUUUGCAAAGCCACAACAACCCAACCUGGAACAAAUUACAGUGAGGACAAACUCCCAGUCUCAGCGAGAUUAUACUUUAAUGAGACAAGGCAAGACAGAGGACGCUAGUUCAGCUUGGGGGAAAUAGAUUAUUUCAUAAAGCAUUUGAUGGGGCUGUCCUUAGGUGCUCCGAUUUAUAUUAUUGGAAAGGUUAGUCAGUAAAGACUGGAGGUUUGCUCCAGACAUUUGUUCCCUCUUUCUCUUUGUUUUAAAGCAUGGUUUUGCUGCUGUUGUUUUUCCUUUCCAGUACCCCUAGUAUAGUAAGAUACGCCAGCUCAAGGCCCACGCAAAAUGGGGCAUACUAGAUUUCCUCCAUCAAAUGCCCCAGAGCCUAAUUAGUUAGCUGUGCUCUACAGAUGGUAUUAAUUAAAAAGAGGGCAUUACGUUGAUCAAGGCUACAAUAGUUCCUUGGAUUUAAGCCGCAUUUACCAAGGCACUCUUCCCACCUGCUGUUUGCUGAGCUGUCUUGUACUUCCCAGCCUGCCAAAAAGUUUCCUUUAUUAAGCAUGCAGGUUCUUUUCAGUAGAGCCUGCCCAGGUCAAUGAAAAUCACCCCGUUGGUAUAAGCUGGAGGUAGUUGUUCCUGGAUUCAAGACAGCUGUUCUCAUUCACUUAUGAAAAUACAGUGGUACCUUGGGUUAAGUACUUAAUUCGUUCCGGAGGUCUGUACUUAACCUGAAACUGUUCUUAACCUGAAGCACCACUUUAGCUAAUGGGGCCUCCUGCUGCCGCCACGCCGCCGGAGCACGAUUUCUGUUCUCAACCUGAAGCAAAGUUCUUAACCUGAAGCACUAUUUCUGGGUUAGCAGAGUCUGUAACCUGAAGCGUAUGUAACCCGAGGUACCACUGUAUACACAACAGAGUAAAUAUCCCUUCUCUUUCAAAGCAUGGCACACACUUGUCAGUUUUUACCAGAUUUUGAUAUGUGGUCUUAUCACACCUAGGAGCAUAGCACACCAUAGCCAUACAACCUAAGAACUGUCUUGCUGGGUCAGCACAGGAUUUGUUAAGACCAGGGAUGGUAAACCUGUGGCUUUCUACUUGUUGUUGGACUCUGAUUCUCAUCAGUUCUAGAUGAGCAGUCAGGGAUGAUGAGAGCUGGAAUCCAACAACAUCUAGGCUGCCACAGGUUCCCCACCUAUUCUGUUACCUGGUGGCCAGACAGAUUCUUGUGGAAAUUCAUAAGAAAGGUACAUUGGUGAGGCCAUUGAGUGUUUAGAGGAGGGAGAGACUCCAUCAGGCAAGGGGUCCUUCCACCUGCCUUGCCCCACCCUCCGGCCCUAGGAGUCCUCAUAAGGGAGCUGUCCCUGGAGGAAGAACUGUGAGGGGAGAUACUCCAUCAGGCAAGGCCUCCUUCCCGCUGCCUCGCUCUACCCUCUGCUUCUCAAUAUGUAUUGUAUUGUUUUAUCUACUGUGGCUUGCCGUUGUUUUAUUGAUUAUAGUUUAGAUAUUAUUGUAACUGUUGAGUGGAUUUCUGUUUAACUUUUAUAUGUUAUUAUUAUUUUACACUAUUCUAAUGAUUGUUGAAUGUUACUUUUUUGAUGGAGGUUUCCUAUUUUAAAGUUAUGUUUUAUUAUCACAUUUUUGUAUUGCAUUAGAUGGUUAUAAGAUGUACAUUUUUUGUUUCUUCAGCUUGUAAACCACCUUGAGUAUUGUAAGAUAGAAAGGAGGUAUACAAAUUAAAAAUGAUGAUGAUGAUUUUUCUCAUGUCUUCUCCACUGCUCAGAGGGGUAUAUUGCCUUUCAAGAUGGAGGACAAAUUGAGCUGUUAUGGUGAGCAGCCUUUGAUGGAUUGGUCUCCUAUUAAUUUGUCAAAUUCUUCUAUCUUGAUCCUUGGCCAUCACCACAUCUUAUGGCGACAUCCAGGCUGCAGAAUUGGCAAUUGACCUUGCCAAAAUCAUCCAGGAGAUACAGAGAAUUGGUUUAAACAAUUGAUCAAGACCACUAAGGAAGUAUAUCUGAAUAGGGUCUGUUGCUUCAAAACAGGCAAGCAAAUGAUUGGAAAGAGAUCCAACAGGGAAAAUAAAUGUGCCAGCGUGCUAAAAAAUGUGCUAAAUAUUGCAAGAGAUCUGUGCUAUAAAGAUGGCAUGUGAUGAACUGUGUUUCAAAAGUACUGCAAUUAAUUAGACUUCUUAUGGAU